GGAGAAACAGCCAGUGAGUAGGCCCUAUAGCACGUUUCACUGAGCUAUCGCAUGUUUCAGAAAGCAACAGUUGGUAACCGAAGUCAGCAUGUGGCAUAAGACAGCAUUUAAGACAUCUACAAUACGAAGCACGUCACCUAAGAAAUCUCAAUGCAAUCAACCAAGGGAUGGUGGUGAGCAAUGCAGUUGGGCCCAGCUGGGUCAGCAAUGCCAACGCCUCCAGUAGUUCCUCUCCAUCCCUGUCU